AGCGAACGCUGGCGGCAUGCUUAACACAUGCAAGUCGCACGGGCAGCAAUGUCAGUGGCGGACGGGUGAGUAACGCGUAGGUAUCUAUCCUUGGGUGGGGGACGAACUGUGGGAAACGUACAGCUAAUACCGCAUGAUGACCGAGGUCUAAAGGACGCCAAGUCGCCUGGGGCGGAGCCUGCGUACGAUUAGCUUGUUGGGUGGGGUAAAGGGCCUACCAAGGCGACGANCGUUAGCUGGUCUGAGAGGAUGAUCAGCCACAUU
rnacentral:rRNA from 1 species